GGGCGUGUGGCUCAGUUGGUAGAGCGUUCGCUUAGCAUCACCUGUAUCUUUCGAGAGAUCCCUGGUCGUUGCGAAAGGUCCUGGGUUCGAUUCCCAGCUCGUCCA